rnacentral:sRNA from 1 species
CUUUUUUAAAAAAGAAACGAUAACUGAUUAGGAUAUAGCACGAGCUUAUUCGCUAUGCCUGGUUAAACAUAGACGAAGCGACUCAACGCCCCUGCAAUAAUCUAUCGCCUCACGAAUAAAAUCGAUGAAAGAAUCAUCCCGUAGAUAUUGAAUACUCUACAGGAAAUUCAAUCUGAGAGGCGAAUCCAAUCAGCUACAAAACGAUUCUAAAAG